rnacentral:lncRNA from 1 species
UCAGACUUUCACUGUUGCACAUAACCCUAAAACAUGAUAACAUUCAAAUUCUCAAAUCCCUAAUUUUUUUCCCCUCUCUCUUUCUCUCUCGUUCUCCCUCAGACCCUCACCCAGUCAGGCAGUCACCCUAGCUCACAUUUCUUGCAAUUAUUUUGUAUUUUGAACUAUUGAACAUGUUGCAUCAAAUUGUAGGUAAUGUUAUAUAAAAAUUAAACUAUUGAUUAUAUAAUGUCGAGAAUUUCAAUAGGCUCGUUUAGAGCUCGAGCUCGGCUCGACUCGAAAUUAGGCUCGCUCGAGCUCGACUCGAAUUAAUUU